AUUGAACGCUGGCGGCAUGCCUUACACAUGCAAGUCGAACGGCAGCACGGGAGCAAUCCUGGUGGCGAGUGGCGAACGGGUGAGUAAUAUAUCGGAACGUGCCCAGUCGUGGGGAUAACGUAGCGAAAGCUACGCUAAUACCGCAUACGAUCUACGGAUGAAAGCGGGGGAUCGCAAGACCUCGCGCGAUUGGAGCGGCCGAUAUCAGAUUAGGUAGUUGGUGAGGUAAAGGCUCACCAAGCCGACGAUCUGUAGCUGGUCUGAGAGGACGACCAGCCACACUGGGACUGAGACACGGCCCAGACUCCUACGGGAGGCAGCAGUGGGGAAUUUUGGACAAUGGGCGCAAGCCUGAUCCAGCAAUGCCGCGUGCAGGAUGAAGGCCUUCGGGUU
rnacentral:rRNA from 1 species